GGAGCAGGACGAGCUAAUUACAGAGCCCGCUGCGGGCUGCCGGGCACCCCAGCUUGGCCACUUUAACUGUGCUCCUGCGCUCACUGGGCUCCAAGUUGACGCAACUUUUCCAAGAGUAUCUGAAAGGCCUGAAUAGAAACCUCAGGGGUCCUGGAAUCCAGCGGGGCAGAGGGGAGUCUCCGGCAAGCCCCCUGCCCUCCCAGGGAUCUGCCACUCCCGUGCGCCUCGGCGGGAGGAGCGCACGGCUCGGCUGGGCCAGGCCAGGAGUUGGAGGGAGGCCUGCUUGCUCGCCGCGAAGACUCUGGGGAGGCCAGGACCAGGGGACGGAGGGGGUCGGCUGGAGGGUCUGCAUGGCAGGAGGAGCCGCGCCAGAGGGCCGGGCGCGCUGCGGCAGCGCCCGGGGCUGUCUCCACCUCUUCUGGCAAGUUGGACCUAUGAGUGCGCAGCUCGACUUACAACCGUCAACAGCCCGGGCGGGUGAGCGCGUGUGAGCGCCGGGGGCUCGGGACCCCGCACUUCCUCGCAGGCCUCUCCGCGCACAGCGGGCGCCCCGGCCGUCCGGCCAGCCCCGACGGGAUGCCCGCGACCAUGCUCCCCUACGCGUGCGUCCUGGUGCUUUUGGGAGAUACUUACCAGUUUAGGUACCUGAGCUGGGGCAUGCCUGAACCUCGGGCCUCCAGUGUGAAUUUGGCACAGGAUGGCGCGCACGCGGCCCAGCGGGUGAGUUCCCACUGAGUGUACACACACACACACACACACACACACACACACACACACACAGCCCCCCAAGCAAAUAAACUUUAAAAUGGGGUAACAUUUGAAUUUGUAUUUAUUUAUUCAAGAAUUAAGCCAUGGGGGCCUGUAAUGUUAGUGGGAUGUUUUAGUACAGNCCCAGAUGCCGGCAGCAACAUCUUCCCGGUUAUGACAACCACAAAGGUCUCCAGACACCGCCCAAUGUCCCCCGUUCAAGGGGUGAGCGGGGAGCAACGGAGCCCCUGUCCGAGAACCCUUGGUAGGGCCAGACGGACCGCUGGUAGCUUUUCAAAUGAAUCUGUCAAAAUCACCAGUCCUGCUUUUAUCUCGAGCCAUAUACUUUGUGAUGGCAAGUUAUCAUCUCGAGGCAGAUUAACUAGAGCAGAGUCACGGGCCAUUCCGUAAUAAAUGAGUUGUUGGUGUGGGACUCCGUUUGCAAACCCGGAAUAGAAACCGGGAAGAGAAUGAACUUAAACACGCUCAUCCGAAAAUCAAAUGUGAAUAAAGAUCGGUUAUUGAAUUAGUUGUUCA
rnacentral:lncRNA from 1 species